rnacentral:lncRNA from 1 species
AUGGGGAAUCUCCCACCAGCUCGGUCCCGAACGCCGCCGGUCCCGGAGCACCGGGUCGGUCGCGUACCACGCCGGUGCCGCUCCCCAUCGCCGGUCCCGGCCCGCGCUGCGCGUCCAGCCGGACCCCCUUCAGAGCGAGCCGGUACCCGGGAGCGCGGGGCAGCCCCGAGCGGGGGCGGAGCGGUGCCGGUGCGGCGGGAUGGGCGGCGCGGCCCCUGCCCCUCUCGACGCCGCAUCACGGUGAGUGACAGCAGCCCCGGCCCGGCCCCGCCGCACAACCCGCCGGGCUUUUCCAAUCAGGCCGGGCCGGGGAGGGAUUUCCUGCCGGGACGGGGCCGGCCCGAGCGGGACUUUGCCGAGUGCCGCGCCGCCUGCGAGCCGGGACCCGCGGCUGCGCUCCGGUACCGGCCCCGCUCCCGCCCCGCGCGGCUCGGGAAGUUGCGGCCGGGCCGGGCCGGGCUCGGCGCUGCUCGGUGCCCCGCGCUCCGGAGCGGCUCCGCACGGCGCGGGCGGCUCCGCCGCGGUGCCGUCGGUUCGCUCCGGCGCGGUUCGGUUCGCCCCGGUGCGGCGGGCUGGGAGCGCCGCCAGGUGAGUGGGGCCGGCGGAGCUGCUCGCCCCAGGAGCCGCGGAACAACCGGCCUCGGUGGGGGCAGAAACCCCCCGAGCUCCCGGGGGAAGGAGCCGCCCCGCGCGGGGGUCUCGGGGCGGGGGAGGCGGGGGCGCGGCCGGGCGGGCAGCGAGGGGGGCCCGGAGCCUCCCGGGGGAACCGAGAGCUGCCCCCACCGCCCCUCGGGACCCGGCCGGGUGCGUGCAGCUCCUUUGCAUCUUUCCUCCGCCACUUACGUAACUGGUUCGGGUUUGUUUGGGGUUUUUUCCCCCUCUUCUCCCUCCUUUUUUCCCCCCCGGCGCUGCCGUUGGCUGCGGGAAUGUUUGGGAUACUUUGGUUCUCCAGGUGGAUUCCUGGGCUGCAGGCUCAGCUCUGCUCGUGUGGGAGGGAUGUUUUGCUGUUGCUUUUCCAGCUUUGAGCGUUUCUCGAAUUUUACCUUCGCUGCUCCUCUCGGGGGAGGCUGA